rnacentral:Y_RNA from 1 species
GGCUAGUCUGAGCGAUGGUGUUUACAACUAAUUGGUCACAACCAGUUACAGAUUCUUUUGCUCCUUCUCUAGUCCUGCAGCUCCACUUGACUAGCCUUUA